GGGAAAACCUCUCUCUGAUGGGGACCUGCAGGCAUCAGGGCUGGGCCGGCAGGACACACCCAGAGGAGACAGAUUCGUGAUGAAAACAGACUGCAGGGGCCGGACGGGAGGACAGAGAGCUGCUGGCGAGCACGCAUGGAGCUUUGCUUUGAAGUAGUAAAAGGAUUUUUGGAAAUACGUAGUGGAGACAGUUGCACAGAAUGGAAGGAGAGACUGUGUUACGAAUGGAGAUCCAAGGACUGUGUGAGCCACGUCUUUCUGGAGCUGUGCUGGUGACCCCUGGCCUUCGCCAUACACUUGUUUGGGAGAUUUCAGACCUGAUCAGCCUGCAAUAACUAAGGGAUAAUUUAGCCCAAUAAAUGAGAAUU